GACGAACGCUGGCGGCGUGCCUAAUACAUGCAAGUAGAACGCUGAGGUUUGGUGUUUACACUAGACUGAUGAGUUGCGAACGGGUGAGUAACGCGUAGGUAACCUGCCUCAUAGCGGGGGAUAACUAUUGGAAACGAUAGCUAAUACCGCAUAAGAGUAAUUAACACAUGUUGGUUAUUUAAAAGGAGCAAUUGCUUCACUGUGAGAUGGACCUGCGUUGUAUUAGCUAGUUGGUGAGGUAAAGGCUCACCAAGGCGACGAUACAUAGCCGACCUGAGAGGGUGAUCGGCCACACUGGGACUGAGACACGGCCCAGACUCCUACGGGAGGCAGCAGUAGGGAAUCUUCGGCAAUGGACGGAAGUCUGACCGAGCAACGCCGCGUGAGUGCAGAAGGUUUUCGGAUCGUAAAGCUCUGUUGUUAGAGAAGAACGUUGGUAGGAGUGGAAAAUCUACCAAGUGACGGUAACUAACCAGAAAGGGACGGCUAACUACGUGCCAGCAGCCGCGGUAAUACGUAGGUCCCGAGCGUUGUCCGGAUUUAUUGGGCGUAAAGCGAGCGCAGGCGGUUCUUUAAGUCUGAAGUUAAAGGCAGUGGCUUAACCAUUGUACGCUUUGGAAACUGGAGGACUUGAGUGCAGAAGGGGAGAGUGGAAUUCCAUGUGUAGCGGUGAAAUGCGUAGAUAUAUGGAGGAACACCGGUGGCGAAAGCGGCUCUCUGGUCUGUAACUGACGCUGAGGCUCGAAAGCGUGGGGAGCAAACAGG
rnacentral:rRNA from 1 species